UGAAGAAAAUGUUUUAGUUAACCACAAAUAUUGUAAUGCUGGGGUUCUUCUCUUUUUCUUUCCUUCUCCUCCACCCCUUGAAGACAUCCUACACGCAAACAUAAAGAUCUGUUGUUGGACUGUGCUAACAAAGUCCUCCUGGGAAGAAGAGCUGAACCACACAGGCUGUAGCACAUGGGCUUGACAGAGGGACCUGACAAUGCUCAGCAGCGGCAAGACUAAAGCAGGGGAAGAAAAGCCAAUCUCUGGAGAUCUCCCUCCAGCUCUGGAAGGAACAGAGGGAGAUCCGUUUGCUAAUGAUUUCAAUGUUCUUGCUUAAGACCUCUCUGCCAGAGUACCUGGCUGAAGGUUUCCCGUUUGUUGGAUGGUUUGGAAGUUGGCAAUUCAUCGAGAUGAAGUUGUGCAAAGUUGGCCGUUGCUGAAUUUGCAUUUUCUUUCCCAGAGGAGAGAGAGAUCUAGUGUUAAAAACAUUGCUGUGCUGCAUCACUGGGAGCUCCAUGUGUGUCCCUCCCCCCUGCGGGUCACCCCCAUCAUGCAGGAAAGGGCAGGUCUGCCCUUCCUCACCUCUUCUUCCCUGCCAAAGUACUCGGGUGAUGAUUCCCCUCGUCCCUGCUCCGGACAUGGGAUUACAGCUCCAGCUCCUCUUCCCAGUGCAUCAUCAACAUGUUGUUUCCAGGGUCAUAAAUUUGCACUGUGAUGAGACACAACCAGAUGUUAGGAUACGUGAAGCGACUGGCGAAGCAGCCUGCCUGGCGCAGCCCCCACCUCCGGAGUCAGCCGCCCGCUAAUGAGAAGCAGGUCUCUCGCCUCGAGCUGGGCCAGGACAGACGGAGAGCAUCCCCAGGAGCAACCACGGAACUGCCAUCUCGACCCCCUUCCUGCUCUCGGUGCCCGGGGAGCAUCUCCAGGGCUAGAUUCAGGCACUUUGGUGGCUAUUGGCUUCUGGCGGCCAUCUGGAAAGAUAGUUUGGGCCGGU